CCCGUGACUCUGCGAGAAGUCCAUUGAACCUUAUCAUUUAGAGGAAGGAGAAGUCGUAACAAGGUUUCCGUAGGUGAACCUGCGGAAGGAUCAUUG
rnacentral:rRNA from 7 species